AGGACUUCCCCAAAAAAUGAUGACUGAGCCAGGAUCUGAGAGAUGAGCAGAGGUCAAUUAAAAAAAGCAUUUGAGGCAGGUGGGCAGUGUCAGCAGAUGCCCUGAGCAGGAAGCAACAUGACGAGUUCAAAGCCUGAAGAAAGUUGUUGUAGCCAGACAAGGAAGAGCUCAGGGAAGCAUAAGCAGCAGGGUGAGGUUGGAGAAGUUGACGGGGGCCAAACCAGUCAGGGCUUUGCCGAUCCUGUUAAGAAGCUGUCCUUACACUCAACACAAGUGAACACUGUGAAGGAAUUUACACAAGGUGGCAGCAUGAUCUAUUUACACUUUGAGAAGUUUAUCCUGCCUCCUGUGUAAAGAAUAGACUGGAAAGUGGCCUGAAUCUGAAUGGAUGCCCGGUAGAUGCGUGGGAGUGAUUGCAGUCAUCCAAGCAGAAGAUGGCCAUGGCUUGGACUGGAAUGGUAAAGGGUGGGAAAGAGACCUGUGAACCGAUCCAGGAGAUGUUAAUGACAACAGGAUCUGGCAAUAGAUUAGCUAUGGUGGGGGUGGGGUGCAGCAAGGAGUGGGAUAUCUCAUUAUUCUUGACAUCUGACCGAAGACUCUGGCCCAGAUACCUGCGCACAGCUCAUUCCAGAACUCACACCCCUCCGUCUUCACAUGGAGCACCAGGAUCUGCUGCCCAUGUUCACAGAAAACACACAGUCCGCAGGGUCUUGGCUGGUCUUUGCCUGUUUGCUUUCAGACUUCCUCCUUGCCUUCUCCUGCUUUGCUCUAAGUAUACAGAAGUUGAUUCCUACAGUGUUUUCCAGCUGUUUGGGCAAUGAGGGGCACAGCUAAGGAGUGAGGGCGGGAAGACAGGAUGUUUGCCUCUGUCUCAGGCAGUGUCCCCUGGAGUUCCAGUUUCUGCAGGACACAUCUGCUUUCUGAUGGUUUCAGGAACAUGAUUUCUCUCUAUUGUCCUACCGUACUAGGGUGGUAGCAGUUUUCUAACAGCUACGAAUUUCUGGGUUAUCUUGCCAUCCUCUACUUGGAUCCUCAGCCCUUUCAUUGUCUGUAUAAAUACUUCCCUGAAUUAAGUUCCUUCUGAUUGCCUGGUUUGACCUUGACUCAGGCCAUCCUCAAAGUCACUAAGUCCAGAAAUGCCCCCAUGUAUCAAUGCCUGAAACUCAUUUGUUACCCUCCAACUUGAAAUCCAAGGCUGAAAUGCAAGUUAUCCAAGGAGGCUUUACAACUUGAAUUAUACAGAUGACAUGUCAUUUCCCACCCCCAUCACAUACCCCCUCCCACAGAGAGCGGAAUGCAUAUAUUUGGUACAAGAAAAGAACAGGAUGCAGGGGGGAGGGGGCUUAGAAGAGGCCUAAAAAGAAUCACAAGGAGAAGGUCAAGGAAUGAAGUGGUUAGAAAAAGGAGGUGAAACACGCUAAAGAUUGACUUGCUUCAAAGUUUGCCAAGAGCAAGCCAGCCAUAGGGUGACACCACUGCUGUAGAGCUGUAUGAAAUAGUGUCCCCCCCGCAAAGAUUGGGUAAGCUGUAUCAAAGGGUUAUCACAACUAGACAACUACAAGUAGAAUCACAAGAGGAUUCUAGCAAAGAGGAGCCUGGAAGACCAAAUAGUCUACCCAGCUUUUCGCUUUAUUUAUGGUAAAGUUAAAAUGAUUUCCACCUGAAAUCUAUACUGAGCUAGGACAGCCAUUGAGUCUCCAUUCUGUACUGAAUGCGGUUUUCCAAAAAUAUUACAUCUGUGUAGUCUAUAUAUCACUGGUAAGUACAUGCCUAAUGUCUUGGGGCAGGAAGCAAAAGCAUGAAUCCAAGUUAUGUUUGUUCAGGCCUUUUUAUACUCAUGAGGGUAAUUCUAGUGUAAUACAAAAUUGGAUUUGCUUGGUUGUAAAUAGAGCCCAUGUAUUAGCAAUGUGUGCUGUGAAUGACCCAGUUUGUGGCUUUUAUAAAUAACCUGCACUGUUUGGUAUAGAGUAGACCCUGCACUAUUUAGUACAUUAAACAAGUUGAAUUCCGCAACCCCUCAACCUCUGCAUGUGAAUACACACACACGCACAUGCAUGCACAUACACAUACGCGUGCACACACCUUCACACACACACACGUUCUUAUAUCCACCUUGCAAAUGCUCUUAAAUGAAGAUUUGCAAGUAAAGUUCUGUAAACUACAACCAGUAUCUUACACACCAAAAUGAGAACCUCAGCUGGCUCUCCAUGCUUGCUCAGAUGCUAGAUGUUCCAUUUCCAGACCUUCCAAGAUUUAGGCGAUAGCGCACAAAGAGUCAUGGAAGUAAGGAGAUGGCUGGAGUACGAUCCAUGGAGAUAAACACAGACUUCUUCUUCCCCUUCAUUCAGUCAACAAAUAUGUGUUGAAUUACCUUCUCACACCCAAGCACUGUUUUAGUUGCUGAGAUAAAGUGGACCCAAAUCCCUUUUUUUGUGGAAUUUUCAUUUCUUUUUUGUUGGAAGUGAUCCUCAUCAACAAGAUAAAUAAUGAAAACACUGAAUAUCUCAGAUGAUAAGUAUUAAGGGGAAAAAAAAGGUCCAGAAAUGGGGGAGGUGUAGGUGUCGCAUUUUACAAUAGGACAGAUGAGGUCAAUGUCACGGAGAGGUGGCAUGAGGACCCCCAACCCGGGUGCAGAUGUCGCCGAAUGCUCCCACCUUCGCCUUGACGUCCUUCCUUCCUGAGUGGUGCCGUCUCAAAGUUAAAUCCCGCAGAGAACACCUGCGCUGUGUGCUCUAGUUCCAGCAUUUACCAGAGGUUUCCAAACCUACUGACGGGACCGAUUCAACUCUGCUAUUCACUGCCUAGCAUUCCCUUAGGAAUUUCCCCAAUGGAGAGGUUAUUAGCAGGGCAGGAUUUGAGAAUUGCUGGAUCUCCAGCUCUCACAGUUCUAAAAUAGCACUCAAACACCACUCUCACCCUCUGGCAUCACUUUCCUCUCCUUCUCCCCUAAGCCCGUUGUGAGACGGGAAAGAGAGCAGAUUCCUAAUAUAACACUGUGAAUUGUGACAUCUGCAGCUAGACCUGGGUUUCUAAUGCAGUAAAGCAUAAAAUGAAGCAGUUCUGUGCAAUUAGAGAUGAAUAAUAAUAACAGUCAGUUUUAUCGAUCACUAUUUUUUUUUUUUUUUUACUAGAAGUCCUAUCCUUUGGCAAUUUUCUAAAAGUUUACAUAGAUCAUCUUAUUUAGUCGCCACAGUAAUUGUGUUGGGGCCGUGUAUAAUUAUCCACUUCUUACAUGAGGAAGCUGAAGCACGAAGAAGUUAAGUGACUUGCAGCUAGCCAUGGCAGCUGUCUGGUUCCAGAGUAUUCAUUUUAGAGACCACGGGUUCUUUUCCCUGCAGUACCAGAAUGUGGCUACUUGAGAGGUCUUCCCUGGUUAAGUUACCCGCAAAAGCUUCGCUCCCUCAGCUUCCCAUGGCAUCAUUCUGUCCCCUUCCCAUUGGUUCUUUUCCCUUCACUUCCGGGUCAGGGGUUGACUUCCGGUCCUUGCCCUCUGCCGCCAUGUUGCUUCCAGCCCAGGACCGUCUCCGCCUCAGACCCUCCUUAGGACCAUAGGUACUUCUCUAAGCAGCGUAGACUCUCUGGGAAAUCGAAGGCUUUUUCUAAACACUCACAAUGCAGAUAACGAGAUGGAAUGUAGAGGCCUCUUCCUAGGGCCCAUUCUCCUCCCCAUCGUCUCUUGUCUCUCUUAGAUCCUACGGAGAAAAAGUUACUACUAUAGCGGGAUGGGGAGGGAAGAUACAUUAUAUCUUCGCCUGCCUUCCUAGGUUCUCCAGUCCUGUAAUGGACUGACAAAAGACAUGUGGACAAAAGAAAAAGAACUAGAAAAGGUUUAACGUGUGGUGCUCAGUGAUGAGCAAUCAAAGGGAGGGUUAGACUUGGGGUCUCUGCAUUUAACUGAGUCGAUGAGGAGGUGGGGGCAUGGUAACGGGGAGAAAGGGACUCAGAAAUGGGCAAAUGCCUUCCCGGAAGUUAAACGGCCCCUUCGGAGAGCAGAUGGGAGAUGCGGUAGUUUGUGGCAGUGCCUGGUGUGGUGCCAGGAGAGAGACGAGUUGCCCAGGGAGGGGAUUUAUGACAGUUGAAUCUGUUGGGGAGGCUCUGCUUUGAGGCAGAUAAGGGAUUUCCCAAACUCCAGUCCAGCCUUCAGCUCAAAAAUCCUUAUGCCAAAGUGGCAUAUUUGGGUGUCGCAGGUCCUGACCCCCUGCACCAUGUAAAUGUUCAGGGAGAAGCUUGUAUCCAGUAACCCAGGUGUGGGGCCAAGGUGUGUCUCUGAUUGAGGGAAAAGAGCUGGAUGAGGAGACCCUUGGCCGUGGAGAAGGAGAAAGGCUUUACCUUCUGGCCUUUUUGCCAUUGUUCUUUGUUUCCUAUCCCCAGCCAUGAUUCCAGGGUACCCAGCCUGAAAAGAUCUUGAUGAGAGAUAAGGUGUCCAGACUUGUGAAAAGGAAAGAGAUUUGAGAUGCUAAGAAACUACUGAUGGCAGGGGUGGGGUCCCCUUCCUAAAUCACCCCCCUCCAAAGGCAAGAUUCACUGAGUCCGUAGCCACCUUCUGUGAAGGAACAUUCUCAGUGCCCCCCUCUCAAGCCAGAGAAACCUGAUAAUUAAUUUGAGUUCCCAUUGUGGCUCAGUGGGUUAAGAACCCGACCAGUAUCCAUAAGGAGGUGGGUUUGAUCCCGGGGCUCGCUCAGUGGGUUAAGGAUCUGGCGUUGCCCUGAGCUAUAGCAAAGGUCACAGAUACUGCUCAGAUCUGGUGUUUCAGUGGCUGUAGUGUAGGCCUACAGCUGCAGCUCAGAUUUGACCCCUAGCCUUGGAAUUUCCAUAUGCUGCAGGUGCAGCCC
rnacentral:lncRNA from 9 species